rnacentral:lncRNA from 1 species
GCCGCAUCUGUGGCAUAUGGAAGUUCCCAGGCUAAGGUUCAAAUAUGAACUGCAGCUGAGACCUCUGCCACAGCCACAGCAACACCAUAUCCAAGUCGCAUGUGUGACCUAUGCCACAGCUUGCGACAACCCCAGAUCCUUAACCCACUGAUCGAGGCCAGGGAUUGAACCCUCAUCCUCACGGACACUAUAUUGGGAUCUUAAUCCAUUGAGUCACAAUAGGAACUCUGACCCCAUGGGAUUUUCUUGUUGUUGUUGUUUUUCAAAGACAAUUGCUUCUUCCUGGAUUGGUAUUGUGUGAGAGGGGUUCAGGGCUAAAAUGAAUAGAUCUCUAACCAAAGAUCUUAAUAGGGAUAAAAAUUACUUUUGACAAAUCCCACUCUAAAUCAUUGUAGUGGGCAACUCUGAGCACCAAAAACGAACAAGAGUUACAAUGUCUGAGGGCUUUGUCUCCUUUGUCAACAAGAAUAUGUGGUUUAGAGGUACAAGCCACCAACCAGUGACCCCCUGGAAGGCCACCACCAAGAGAGCUGCUUCCUGACUCCAGUUCUGGGUGACCCUGUCUGUGGCUUGCUGAGGAGUCUACUGAUGUUCUACCCUAACUCCCACCCUUGCUGCUGUUACUCCCCUGAGUAACAGAACCCUGAGUUUAUUUCAGGCAACAGUGUACCCAACUAAACAGGUCCCAGCCUUCCUUGCAGCUAAGUGUGGCCAUGUGGUUAGAGUCUGCCCAAUGAGGUAUAAGCUGAGAAGUUGUCAGUGGAUUCCAGAAAGUCUCAUUAAAAGGGAGGGGACACUUUCACCUCUUUUCACUGCUCCUUCCUGUUGCCUGGAAUGAGGUGAUGGUUGCUGAGCUCAAGCAGCCAUCUUGGACUUAGAUGAUGCGAGGAGGAAAGCUUCCUGGUGGCAGAGUUCCCACUGGGGCUCAGCAGGUUCAAAACCCAAUGUAGUCUCUGUAAGGAUGCGGCUUCGAUGCCUGGCCUCACUCAGUGGGUUAAGGAUCUAGUGUUGCCACAAGCUGUAGCAUAGCUUGCAGAUGUGGCUUGAAUCUGAUAUUGCUGUGGCUGUAGCGCAGGCUGGCAGCUGCAGCUCUGAUUUGACCCCUAGCCCAGGAAUUUCCAUAUGCUGCAGGUGCAGCUGUAAAAAGAAAAAAAAAACAACCCAAAAAAACAAAAAACUUCUUGCUACUCUUUAAGGGUCUUUGUCAUCGUCAGCAGAUGCAGUUUCUAACUGAUAUGUGGAAGCUCACUGGGCCUCAUUUUGUGGAAGGGCAAAGGUGUCCACAGUUCCUCUAAGCCAACUGCUACUUCUGCUCUCUCUGGAAGAAUCAUCCUGCCCAAGAGGGCCCAAUUCUUUCACAACUUUC